AUACGGAGGGUGCAAGCGUUACUCGGAAUCACAGGGCGUAAAGCGCGCGCAGGCGGUCUUUUAAGUUGGAUGUGAAAGCCUACGGCUCAACCGUAGAACUGCAUCCAAAACUAUUAGACUAGAGUGUGGGAGAGGAAGAUGGAAUUAGUUGUGUAGGGGUAAAUCCGUAGAGAUAACUAGGAAUACCAAAAGCGAAGGCAAUCUUCUGGAACACUACUGACGCUGAGGCGCGAAAGCGUGGGGAGCAAACAGGAUUAGAAACCCUAGUAGUCC
rnacentral:rRNA from 1 species